AUUGAACGCUGGCGGCAUGCUUUACACAUGCAAGUCGAACGGUAACAGGUCUUCGGAUGCUGACGAGUGGCGAACGGGUGAGUAAUACAUCGGAACGUGCCCGAUCGUGGGGGAUAACGCAGCGAAAGCUGUGCUAAUACCGCAUACGAUCUACGGAUGAAAGCGGGGGAUCGCAAGACCUCGCGCGGACGGAGCGGCCGAUGGCAGAUUAGGUAGUUGGUGGGAUAAAAGCUUACCAAGCCGACGAUCUGUAGCUGGUCUGAGAGGACGACCAGCCACACUGGGACUGAGACACGGCCCAGACUCCUACGGGAGGCAGCAGUGGGGAAUUUUGGACAAUGGGGGAAACCCUGAUCCAGCCAUGCCGCGUGCAGGAUGAAGGCCUUCGGGUUGUAAACUGCUUUUGUACGGAACGAAAAGGUCCUUUCUAAUAAAGAGGGCUCAUG
rnacentral:rRNA from 1 species